UCAAGGUCAGAGGUCAAAUAUAUGUGGCCAAAAUCGCUCAUUUUAUGAAUACUUUUGCAAUAUUGAAAAUAGCAACUUGAUAUUUGGCAUGCAUGUGUAUCUCAUGGAGCUGCACAUUUUGAGUGGUGAAAGGUCAAGGUCAAGGUCAUCCUUCAAGGUCAGAGGUCAAAUAUAUGUGGCCCAAAUCGCUUAUUUUAUGAAUACUUUUGCAAUAUUGAAGAUAGCAACUUGAUAUUUGGCAUGCAUGUGUAACUUAUAGAGCUGCACAUUUUGAGUGGUGAAAGGUCAAGGUCAAGGUCAUCCUUCUAGGUCAAAUAUAUGGGUCAAAAUUGCUCAUGUAAUGUAACUUCUGCAAUAUUGAAGCUAGCAAUUUUAUAUUUGACAUGCAUGUGUAUCUCAUGGAGCUGCACAUUUUGAGUGGUGAAGGGUCAAGGUCAUCCUUCAAGGUCAAACGUCAUAUAGGGGGACAUUGUGUUUCACAAACACAUCUUGUUCUCAGCUACUUUCACUUUAAUGCAAUUUAGGUGCUUAAUUUCAUUAAAAUACUUUUAUAUAAUUUUAUUGUUCAAAGAAAUUCAGAACAUAAUGCAUGUACAUGUAUUACUUUCCAAGUGACAAUUUAAAAUAUAAUUGCAAGUCUAAAACUUGUGUAGGCAG